AUUGAACGCUGGCGGCAGGCCUAACACAUGCAAGUCGAGCGGAAGAAGGGAGCUUGCGCCUGGAGUCAGCGGCGGACGGGGGUGUAAUGCCUAGGAAUCUGCCUGGUAUUGGGUGAUAACGUCCUGAAACGGGCGCUAAUACCGCAUACGACGUGAGGCAGAAGGAGGGGGAGGUUCGGACCUCACGCUAGCAGGUGAGCCUAGGCGGGAGUAGCUAGCUUGUGGGGUAAAGGGCUACCAAGGCGAGGAUCCGUAACUGGUCGGAGAGGAGGAUCAGUCGCACUGGAACUGGAACACGGUCAUGGCGCCUGCGGGAGGGAGCAGUGGGGAAUAUUGGGCAGAGGGCGAAAGCAUGAUCCAGCCAUGGCGAGUGUGUGGAGAAAGUCUCCGGAUUGUAAAGCACUUUAAGUGGGGAGGAAGGGCAGUAAGUUAAUACCUUGCUGUUUUGACGUUAACAACAGAAUAAGCACCGGCUAACUUCGUG
rnacentral:rRNA from 1 species